rnacentral:rRNA from 1 species
UACGUAGGGUGCGAGCGUUAAUCGGAAUUACUGGGCGUAAAGUGUGCGCAGGCGGCCGAGCAAGUCGAGUGUGAAAGCCCCGAGCUUAACUUGGGAACUGCGCUCGAAACUACUUGGCUAGAGUGUGGCAGAGGGGGGUGGAAUUCCAGGUGUAGCGGUGAAAUGCGUAGAGAUCCGGAGGAACACCAGAGGCGAAGGCGGCCUACUGGGUCAGUACUGACGCUGAGCCGCGAAAGCCAGGGGAGCGAACGGG